AUUCGAUUUCAAAAAGUGUCCAUAAUUUGUCCAUUGCGUAAAUGUGGAGUUUCGUAAACUGAACGUUCGUAAAUCGAGGGAUAUAUGGAUUUCAGAAAUACGCAGUUUACUUCGUGACGAAUUCAUUAUUACUCGUAUGUACCUUGAACUUAUUUCGCACGGUACAUAGGCAAUUAAGCUAAUCGGAGGAGCAGAGGAAGAACAAAACACAACACAAAAAUCAGUGGCAAAGAAAUUCGUUUUCAAUCUUGGGCUUCUGUAGCUCUACAACGAUCAGGAGCCAUUGCUUGAAAUGUUGCCUAUUGAAUGGUUUCCUCUUCAUGGCAGUGUUUUUUGACGAGUUGGUUGAUAUGUUAUUUGUGAAGUCCUUUUGAGCGUAAUCUCAGUCUCCACCUACCUCUCUAAGCCACACCUUGCCAUAUAAUCUUCACUUCCCUCAUAUAGGUGGUGCAUUUGGGCUGCAUCGGAGGUUUAAAGGACAGGUGUUAUUGCCUUGAAAAAGUUAAAAAAAUAUAAUAAGUCUUGUUCCUCCAUGAAGCAGUGAAUUCGGCCUACAAGAAUCCUGACCUGCAUUCAUUAAAUAAUGGACCGGUGUCAUCUUCUCAUAUUUCUAAUACUCUACCAAACAUCGGCAACACCCAUUCCAACCACAACUCCCACUGCAACCACAACUCCCACGCCAACAACAGAUGUGCCAUAUGGCAAGCUGCAUUACAGAGCCAUCAUUACGAUCACCCUUGGAGUCCAUGCUGCAGUCCUUAUUAUCAUUUAUAUUUGCUGGAAGAGAAAAUACUGGCAUUCAGUAAUCUGUAGAACAGCAGCCCCGCAUCGUGAAGUAAUUCUACUGAAUAAUAUCGGAGGAAGAGAGUUAGAAAGAUGCAUCCAGAGCCCCUCAAACAGCUUUUAAGUUGCACCGGACAGGCUUGGAUGAAGAUGGAGAAUGCAAGACCCCAACUUAGAGAAGCCAGAAGUCUGGUCAACCAUUCCCAAUCAUCUUUAACGAAGGCAGCAAUUUUACCGAGAGGCUUUCCAGUGUAAACAAUCAACACUCAUAGAGUGAAUGUUUAAGAUACCAACAAAUUAUAGAGAUUCUGUUGAACCUAUAUACCGUGUUAGUUCCGUGUAAAGCUAUAAAAAAAAUCCUUGCUUGGCUAGGACAACGCCGAUCUCAGGCUGUCCUGGUCUCUCCCUGAAGCUUUGUCUGUUAAAUGUGGUUUUGUCCUCUGUUUACAAUUUAAUUUAACCCGCCCAUAAAUGUUGUCACUUUACAAGAAUUCAAAUCAUAAAUUGCUGCCUUAGCAACCGAGUCAGCAAUGAUUGACAUAGAAACACAUAUUCACAGAGACGUGACUACUGACAGAUUCACCCAUAGAUACCAACAAAUUAUAGAGAUUCUGUUGAACCUAUAUACCGUGUUAGUUCCGUGUAAAGCUAUAAAAAAAAUCCUCGCUUGGCUAGGACAACCCGAUCUCAGGCUGUCCUGGUCUCUCCCUGAAGCUUUGUCUGUUAAAUGUGGUUUUGUCCUCUGUUUACAAUUUAAUUAAACCCGCCCAUAAAUGUUGUCGCUUUACAAGAAUUCAAAUAAUAAAUUGCUGCCUUAGCAACCGAGUCAGCAAUGAUUGACAUAGAAACACAUAUUCACAGAGACGUGACUACUGACAGAUUCACCCAUAGACUUUCACAGAUAAAUAGACUCAGACUCACGGAGUGGAACUGGUUUAGCUUUAGAGAGUAAGGAUCCAUUACAAUUUCUCAAUGUAAUUAUUUGGCUUCUGACAUGAUGUUAAACGCACAAUGAAACAAUGAUAAAUUAAGGGGAAAAAUAUACGGAAAGUACUUUUUUAUCACUAUAUAUGUUUAGUCUUUAUACCUACAUUCUGUAUACAUUAUAAGGUCACACUCAUUACACACAAAGUGCUUGCCACAAAUGAACCACAAUAGCGUGCUGAUCUCGUCAAAGAACAUAAACUAUCAUUAUGCGAACU